AUACGGAGGGAGCUAGCGUUGUUCGGAAUUACUGGGCGUAAAGCGCACGUAGGCGGCUUUGUAAGUUAGAGGUGAAAGCCCGGGGCUCAACUCCGGAACUGCCUUUAAGACUGCAUCGCUUGAACAUCGGAGAGGUAAGUGGAAUUCCGAGUGUAGAGGUGAAAUUCGUAGAUAUUCGGAAGAACACCAGUGGCGAAGGCGACUUACUGGACGAUUGUUGACGCUGAGGUGCGAAAGCGUGGGGAGCAAACAGGA
rnacentral:rRNA from 1 species